rnacentral:rRNA from 1 species
GUGGGGAAUAUUGGACAAUGGGCGAAAGCCUGAUCCAGCCAUGCCGCGUGAGUGAUGAAGGCCUUAGGGUUGUAAAGCUCUUUCAGUAGGGAAGAUAAUGACGGUACCUACAGAAGAAGCCCCGGCUAACUUCGUGCCAGCAGCCGCGGUAAUACGAAGGGGGCUAGCGUUGUUCGGAUUUACUGGGCGUAAAGCGCACGUAGGCGGAUUGGUCAGUUAGAGGUGAAAUCCUGGAGCUCAACUCCAGAACUACCUUUAAUACUGCCAGUCUAGAGUCCGGAAGAGGUGAGUGGAACUCCUAGUGUAGAGGUGGAAUUCGUAGAUAUUAGGAAGAACACCAGUGGCGAAGGCGGCUCACUGGUCCGGUACUGACGCUGAGGUGCGAAAGCGUGGGGAGCAAACAGGAUUAGAAACCCCUGUAGUCC